UCAGGUGUUGGAUUUAUCCUUCAAUAACUUAACAGGAGAAAGUAUAUUAAAUGUAGGCCUGUUACCAUAUCUGAAGGUGCUCCAUCUGACUGGAAACCAACUGCAGAUGCUUCCACUCAAUAUGGCUGGACCUUGUACCUGCCCUGGAGAAAACACAGAACAAGGUGUCUCACUAUUUCAAAAUCUGGAGGUAUUGAUGCUUGAUGACAACAAAUUAUCUUCUCCAGGAGUGUUUAUGAGCCUCGCUAACUUAAAGAGACUUCGUCAUCUCAAUUUACAAGGAAAUUACAUCUCAGGAGUCCCAUUCUUAGAACAGAU
rnacentral:lncRNA from 1 species